AACGAACGCUGGCGGCGUGCCUAAUACAUGCAAGUCGAACGGGCGUCGCAAGACGUCAGUGGCAGACGGGUGAGUAACACGUGGGAACGUGCCCAUCGGUUCGGACUAACCCAGGGAAACUUGGGCUAAUGCCGGAUACGCCUUGGCGCAAGCUGGGGGAAAGAUUGAUUUGCCGAUGGAUCGGCCCGCGUCUGAUUAGCUUGUUGGUGGGGUAACGGCUCACCAAGGCGACGAUCAGUAGCUGGUCUGAGAGGAUGAUCAGCCACACUGGGACUGAGACACGGCCCAGACUCCUACGGGAGGCAGCAGUGGGGAAUAUUGGACAAUGGGCGAAAGCCUGAUCCAGCAAUGCCGCGUGAGUGAUGAAGGCCUUAGGGUUGUAAAGCUCUUUUACCAGGGAUGAUAAUGACAGUACCUGGAGAAUAAGCUCCGGCUAACUCCGUGC
rnacentral:rRNA from 1 species